rnacentral:rRNA from 1 species
UACGAAGGGAGCUAGCGUUGUUCGGAAUUACUGGGCGUAAAGGGCGCGUAGGCGGGUUUCCAAGUCGGGGGUGAAAUUCCAGGGCUCAACCCUGGGACGGCCUUCGAUACUGGGAGCCUGGAGAUCGGGAGAGGUGAGUGGAACUCCUAGUGUAGAGGUGGAAUUCGUAGAUAUUAGGAAGAACACCAGUGGCGAAGGCGGCUCACUGGUCCGGUACUGACGCUGAGGUGCGAAAGCGUGGGGAGCAAACAGG